GACGAACGCUGGCGGCGUGCUUAACACAUGCAAGUCGAGCGAGCGGCGAACGGGUCAGUAACGCGUAGUAACCUGCCCCCCUCUCUGGGAUAACAGUUGGAAACGGCUGCUAUUACUGGUUAGUGGGGGUUGGACUCGCGUCCGCUCAGCUUGUUGGUGGGGUAAGGGCAUACCAAGGCGACGAACCGUAACUGGUCUCUGGGGAUGAUCAGGCACACUGGAACUGAGACACGGGCCAGACUCCUACGGGAGGAAGCAGUGGGGAAUAUUGGACAAUGGGCGAAAGCCUGAUCGAGCCAUGCCGCUGGAUUGAAGAAGGUCUUCGGAUUGUAAGGCACUUUAAGUUGGGAGGCGUUACCAACAGAAUAAGCACCGGCUAACUUCGUGCCAGCAGCCGCGGUAAUAC
rnacentral:rRNA from 1 species